AUUAUUUGUGUGUUAUGUUUCAUUUAUGAAAUAUGUUGUUUAAAAACUGACCAUUGUGAUGGUUAAUUUUAUGUCAACUUGACCAGACCAGAGGAUGCCCAUUAUUCUAUGGGUGUCUGUUAGGUUGUUUUCCAAAAAUAUUAGCCUUUGAGUCAGUGAACUGAAUAAAACAAAUGGCCCUCCCCAAUGCACAUGGGUUUCACCAGAUCACUGGAGGGGCUGAAGAGAACAAAAGAGUAAAGGAAGGGUGGGUUCCUGUUGUCUCUGCCUCAGUGUUUGAACUGAAUAAAUAUCUCCUACCCUUGGCACUUCUGGUCUCAGUUUUCAGAUCUAGGCAAGAAUCUACACCAUCAGCUGUCCGACUCUCACCACCUGCCUUCCUGGGUCUCCAGCUUGCAGAAGGCAGAUCAUGUGACUUCCCAGUCUUCAUAAUCAGAGUUCAUCAAAAAAUAAGUCUGCAAGUUUCAGAAGAUGAGACCUCAUUGUGACAACAGAAUCAUACCACACAUGUGAGUCAAUGACUUAAUGGGAGAAUCAAUGGAAAGCUGAGAAACAACGAAGUGUAUGGUUUUGAGUCUAAAUACAGGUAUAGAUACAUAUUUUUUUCAUCAACACAUGUUGAAAUUAGGGAGUUAGUUCUUCUUAGUGCAUCGGGACCCUCCGAACUAUUGGGGUGGGGUGGGACACAUACCUCAUCUACCUCCAGUCCCACCUCCUUCAACCUUGCUCUUGGCUUGGCGUUCUUGAGUUUUCCUGGAAAGGAAUUUGGACCAAAGCUGCUUUGCUAUUCACAUGAGAGGUAGCUAUUUUGAAUUACAAAAAUGAUGAUGAAAUGGUGUAGGCAACUCUGGUUUCUUUCAUUUGAAAAAUAUAUAAAUUCAGUUGUAACCAUGCCAAUCAGAAUUUCUGACUUGUAGUUAAAAGUUCAUGAUCCUUGAAAAUCACAAAUGGAAUUAUUAUAGAAUCAAUCAAGCUGAUUUCAUUGAGAAAAAUAUUUCAAUGCACAAAGUCUUCGGAGAAAAAAAUGUGAAAGUAGUCUUUAAGAGUCCAGCAAGGAUAGGUAGGUAAGGUAACUGAGAUGAGUUAUUCAGCAGAUGAAUGCUUUACACACAUCUCAGGGCAUUAAAUAACCUUAAUGCUGGAGGUAUUUUCACUUAUAUUUUUAAAAGAUUUUAUUUAUUUGAGAGAGAGAGAGCGAGCACAAGUGAGGGAGGGACAAAGGGAGAAGGAGAAACAGGCUUUCCACUGAGCAGGCGCCCAAUGUGGGGCUCGAUCCCAGGACCCUGGCAUCCUGACCUAAUCUGAAGGCAGACACUUAACUGAGUAAGCUAUCCAGGCACCCCACAUUCAGUAUUCACAGUAAGCUUUCAGAGUUAUUAUUACCACUUCUUAUUACCACUUCUCAGCUGUGGAUUUUCUGGCUCGGAGAGGAUAACUUUUGCUGUAGUCCUCUUAGGUUCCUGGCCAUGGAAUGCUUUCUAAGCACCCAGCACUAUAAUAAUGCUUUGUGUGAAUUAUUUUCCCUAGAACUGUGAUAUAGCUACAGGUUUGCGGUAAGUUUUAACAUUUAUUUCCUCCACUUUGUGACACUGCAAAGAAAUAUUUAAUGCCAGACCUGUGUAAAGAAUGCUAAUCUCUGUAGAAUUUUCCCAACCAACAUUUUCAUGUUUCCUUCUAAUUACUUUAAAUAGUAAUUACAAACCCUUCAAAGCAAUUUGAGAUUUUGCCCUUUCUUUUAAACAAACAAGCCAACACAAAUGAUAAUGUUCUAUAAUAAUGGGCCUCUUUUGCAGAUAGGCAGUCAUUAAUUCUUGUUUUCUUUCUAGGUAAAUUCUGCUUAUGUAAUUAGUACAUUGGUAAACUAGUGUGUAAGUUGGCUGCCCUGACUGCCUGAAGAUGUCAAGUUCAAGAUCUUUUAUUAGAUUUAAUAUCACCACGUUUCUUUUUCCCCUCAGAACAUUUAUUUAUAUUUCUAUUUUUGCAUUUGUUUGUGUGAUUUUUUAUUUUGGGCUUUCAUCUAGACUACAGGCAUUGCAUGUUUUUAUCCAGUCUUGAGUCCUCUGUCCCUACUAUUACAAUGCCUAAUAACUAAUAGGCUCUCACUAAAUAUUUGUUGGAUGAGUGGAAGGCUGAGUGAAUAAAUGGAUGGGUAGAUGGGUAAAGGAAGGAAGUGGACAAGUGGACAGGUCAUUUUGGAUUUCUGGUAUUCAUAAAUGACCUGGGAUUUAACCUGGCCUUUGAAAAGGGGGUGAGAGGGGCGCCUGGGUGGCUCAGUGGGUUAAGCCGCUGCCUUCGGCUCAGGUCAUGAUCUCA
ensembl:lincRNA